GACGAACGCUGGCGGCGUGCUUAACACAUGCAAGUCGAACGAAGAGCGAUGGAAGCUUGCUUCUAUCAAUCUUAGUGGCGAACGGGUGAGUAACGCGUAAUCAACCUGCCCUUCAGAGGGGGACAACAGUUGGAAACGACUGCUAAUACCGCAUACGAUCUGACCUCGGCAUCGAGGAUAGAUGAAAGGUGGCCUCUAUUUAUAAUCUAUCACUGAAGGAGGGGAUUGCGUCUGAUUAGCUAGUUGGAGGGGUAACGGCCCACCAAGGCGAUGAUCAGUAGCCGGUCUGAGAGGAUGAACGGCCACAUUGGGACUGAGACACGGCCCAGACUCCUACGGGAGGCAGCAGUGGGGAAUCUUCCGCAAUGGACGAAAGUCUGACGGAGCAACGCCGCGUGAGUGAUGACGGCCUUCGGGUUGUAAAGCUCUGUUAAUCGGGACGAAAGGCCUUCUUGCGAAUAGUUAGAAGGAUUGACGGUACCGGAAUAGAAAGCCACGGCUAACUACGUG
rnacentral:rRNA from 1 species